GAUGAACGCUGGCGGCGUGCCUAAUACAUGCAAGUCGAGCGGUAACACUUCGGGUGACGAGCGGCGGACGGCUGAGUAACGCGUAGGAAUGUACCCCAAACUGAGGGAUAAGCACCAGAAAUGGUGUCUAAUACCGCAUAUGGUCUUCGGAUUAAAGCUUCGGCGGUUUGGGAACGGCCUGCGUAUGAUUAGCUUGUUGGUGAGGUAAAAGCUCACCAAGGCGACGAUCAUUAGCUGGUCUGAGAGGAUGAUCAGCCAGACUGGGACUGAGACACGGCCCAGACCCCUACGGGAGGCAGCAGUAGGGAAUCUUCCACAAUGGGCGAAAGCCUGAUGGAGCAACGCCGCGUGCAGGAUGAAAGCCUUCGGGUCGUAAACUGCUUUUAUAUGCGAAGACUUCGACGGUAGCAUAUGAAUAAGGAUCGGCUAACUCCGUGCCAGCAGCCGCGGUCAUACGGAGGAUCCAAGCGUUAUCCGGAAUUACGU
rnacentral:rRNA from 1 species